UGCUUUUGUAGCAAUACGAGAGUAUCCUAGUGGCGAACGGGUGAGUAACGCGUUGGUGACCUACCCCAAAGUGUGGGAUAACAGUCCGAAAGGAUUGCUAAUACCGCAUGUGGUUAUUGGAUUUAGAAACUGAUAACUAAAGGAGCAAUUCGCUUUGGGAGGGACCUGCGUCCCAUCAGCUAGUUGGUGAGGUAAUGGCUCACCAAGGCUACGACGGGUAGGGGACCUGAGAGGGUGACCCCCCACAAUGGAACUGAAACACGGUCCAUACACCUACGGGUGGCAGCAGUAGGGAAUAUUGCACAAUGGGCGAAAGCCUGAUGCAGCAACGCCGCGUGUGCGAUGAAGGCCUUCGGG
rnacentral:rRNA from 1 species